rnacentral:tRNA from 1 species
UGCAUCGGCCGGGAAUCGAACCCGGGCCACCCGCGUGGCAGGCGAGCAUUCUACCAUUGAACCACCGAUGC